UAUUUUGAUUGUGCAAAGGUAGCAUAAUAAUUAGUUUUUUAAUUGAGAACUGGUAUGAAUGGUUGGACGAGAAAAAAACUGUCUCAAUUUAAAUUUUAUUAGAAUUUUAUUUUUAAGUUAAAAAGCUUAAAUAAUUUUAAUAGACGAGAAGACCCUAUAGAGUUUUAUAAAAUUUAAAUUAAUAUAUAUUAAAGAAUAUUAUAAUUUAUUUAUUUUAAUUUUAUUUAGUUGGGGUGAUUAAAAAAUUUAAUAAACUUUUUUUAAAAAAAUUACAUUUAUAUAUGAAUAAUUGUUCC
rnacentral:rRNA from 1 species